GAACGGGCCAACGAGUUACGUUAAGUAGCAAGGUUAAGCACUUAAGGUGCGGAGCCGUAGCGAAAGCGAGUUUUAACUGAGCGUUCAGUUACUUGACGUAGACCCGAAACCGGGCGACCUACCCAUGAGCAGGAUGAAGCGAAAGUAAAAUUUCGUGGAGGUCCGAACCCACGAGCGUUGAAAAGCUCGGGGAUGACUUGUGGGUAGCGGUGAAAUUCCAAUCGAGCCCGGAGAUAGCUGGUUCUCCCCGAAAUAGCUUUAGGGCUAGCCUCAAGGUGAGAGAUACGGAGGUAGAGCACUGAAUGUCCUAGGGGGUAUUGCACCUACCGAAGACUAUCAAACUCCGAAUGCCGUCAUCUUAUACUUGGGAGUCAGACUGUGGGUGAUAAGAUUCAUAGUCGAAAGGGCAACAGCCCAGAUCGUCAGCUAAGGUCCCUAAAUGUAAGUUAAGUGGUAAAGGAUGUGGGAUUGCACAGACAACCAGGAUGUUGGCUUAGAAGCAGCCACUCAUUCAAAGAGUGCGUAAUAGCUCACUGGUCGAGUGAUCCUGCGCCGAAGAUUUCCGGGGCUAAAACUUACUACCGAAGCUACGGCAUCAGUAAUGAUGGGUAGGGGAGCUUCCCAUACGGGUUGAAGCA
rnacentral:rRNA from 1 species